rnacentral:rRNA from 1 species
CCUACGGGAGGCAGCAGUGAGGAAUAUUGGUCAAUGGGCGCGAGCCUGAACCAGCCAAGUAGCGUGAAGGAUGACGGCUCUACGGGUUGUAAACUUCUUUUAUAAAGGAGUAAAGUGAGGCACGUGUGCCUUAUUGUAUGUACUUUAUGAAUAAGGAUCGGCUAACUCCGUGCCAUCAGCCGCGGUAAUACGGAGGAUUCGAGCGUUAUCCGGAUUUAUUGGGUUUAAAGGGAGCGUAGAUGGGUUGUUAAGUCAGUUGUGAAAGUUUGGGGCUCAAACGUCAUAGUGCAAUUGAAACUGGCAGCCUUGAGUACAGUUGAGGUAGGCGGAAUUCGUGGUGUAGCGGUGAAAUGCUUAGAUAUCACGAAGAACUCCGAUUGCGAAGGCAGCUUACUAAACUGCAACUGACAUUGAUGCUCGAAAGUGUGGGUAUCAAACAGGAUUAGAUACCCGGGUAGUC